rnacentral:rRNA from 1 species
UACGUAGGGGGCUAGCGUUGUCCGGAUUUAUUGGGCGUAAAGAGCGUGUAGGCGGCCAGGUAGGUCCGUUGUGAAAACUCGAGGCUCAACCUCGAGACGUCGGCGGAAACCCUCUGGCUAGAGUCCGGAAGAGGAGAGUGGAAUUCCUGGUGUAGCGGUGAAAUGCGCAGAUAUCAGGAAGAACACCCGUGGCGAAGGCGGCUCUCUGGGACGGUACUGACGCUGAGGCGCGAAAGCGUGGGGAGCAAACGGG